UACGUAGGGGUCUAGCGUUGCUCCGGAAUUAUUGGGCGUAAAGAGCUCGUAGGCGGUUCGGCAAGUCGGAUGUGAAAUCUCCACGCUUAACGUGGAGGGGCCAUUCGAAACUGCCGUGACUCGAGUCCGGUAGGGGAGUGCGGAAUUCCCGGUGUAGCGGUGAAAUGCGCAGAUAUCGGGAGGAACACCGGUGGCGAAGGCGGCAUCCUGGACCGGCAUUGACGCUGAGGCGCGAAAGCUAGGGGAGCAAACGGGG
rnacentral:rRNA from 1 species